UACGGGGGGAGCAAGCGUUGUUCGGAUUUACUGGGCGUAAAGAGCUCGUAGGCGGCUUGUCACGUCGGGUGUGAAAGCCCGGGGCUUAACCCCGGGUCUGCAUUCGAUACGGGCAGGCUAGAGUGUGGUAGGGGAGAUCGGAAUUCCUGGUGUAGCGGUGAAAUGCGCAGAUAUCAGGAGGAACACCGGUGGCGAAGGCGGAUCUCUGGGCCAUUACUGACGCUGAGGAGCGAAAGCGUGGGGAGCGAACAGG
rnacentral:rRNA from 1 species